rnacentral:rRNA from 1 species
GACGUAGGGCGCGAGCGUUGGCCGGAUUUAUUGGGCGUAAAGAGCUCGUAGGCGGCUUGUUGCGUCGACCGUGAAAACCCGGGGCUCAACUUCGGGCUUGCGGUCGAUACGGGCGGGCUAGAGUUCGGUAGGGGAGACUGGAAUUCCUGGUGUAGCGGUGAAAUGCGCAGAUAUCAGGAGGAACACCGGUGGCGAAGGCGGGUCUCUGGGCCGAUACUGACGCUGAGGCACGAAAGCGUGGGGAGCAAACAGG